AACUUAUUCCCAAGUCUUCCUCACACUGCCUUCUCAGGUUUCAGAUGCUUAAUGAGAUACAUUUGUAUAUGAAAUGGCCUUUCAUAUAAGGACAUAUAGACCUCGAGUCCCUCCCAAGGCAAAAUGGGAGAAGAUUUCUGCCUUCAAAGAGCACGUCCCUGGGUUCCACAUUUCCCUUGGCAUUUCCUACCUUCUCUAAAUGCAUCUUAUUCAGUCCUUCUGUGCGCUGUUGUACAAUGCUUAUUCCUCAAUUUAAGGAAACAGUUAAAAUCUCUUUUUAAAAAAUGCAAUUCAGGGCACAGAUUCAUAAACAACGCAAUAGGUCUUGGAAGAACUUGUAAGGUAGAGAAAACAGAUGGAAAGACAAGAACCAGUUAAAGCUGAAGUAAACUGAUAAGGCAGAUUGCUGGGAAAUCAAGGUGGUUUUGGUCAGAAGGCAGAGGGUCCUGAGCAUGAAAAACCAACUAACACACAAACAAACAAAAAAUGAAAGUCAUUUUCACCAGGGACUAAAAAGGCAGCUUUAAGACAACAAAACUUUGAGUAGAAUGAGCUGGUCAUCAGCCUUAAGAGUCAGGACUGGACAAUUCAGGCUGACUUUCCACUAGUAUAUGUGUCUGGUACAGACUGUCUGCCUUCAGUUGACCCAUCUUUCUUCAGUUAUGCUGUAACAAGACUAUAUCUAGGUGAUACCCACACAGUGCUUGAGCUUACUGCUUACUGCUCAGAAUACAUUUGGCCUUAAUAGGCAACUGUAUGCAUCUAGUCUGAUCCACCCUACAUUGAAGGGGUGAUGGGGAUUCCAUGAGUAGCCAUUUAGUAUGUUGGACAGAAGAGAAAAUUAGACUGCCUUGGAGAGAACAGAGUGAGGAAUUGCCAAGCCUAAAGCAUAGCCUUUGAUGGAAGAAGUUCCUUUUACUUGACUUUAAGGUGACAGAGAAGAGGGAGUUUAUGGUUGAUCAGGCAUAGA
rnacentral:lncRNA from 1 species